CCGAAGAUCAUGUGUGACACAGAGACCGUAGUUCAUUCGUGGUCUUCUUCUUCUUCUUUUUUUUUUGCUGGAGAAGGGCCAACCAAGUGUAGAAUAUAUAGCUAAAUAGUUCAGGUUUAAAUAGAAAGAGGUGCCAGGGCCGUUAAUUGCUCGGGGUUCUGGCGCCUGGUGGAGGGAGUUAUUCGCAAAUCCUUCCAAUCAGGAGGCUCCGGGGAGAAGAUGCCGGAGGCAGAAAACAGCAUGGGGAGAUUUGAGAAGCAGCAGGGGGUCCCUCCCUUCGCCGGCGUUUCUUAUUUUCUCCAAAUGUCGGGGCAAGCAAGAUACACCCUCCUCCGCUCUCCGUGUGUGUGUGUGUGUGUGUGUGUGUGUGUGUGUGUAGCCGCCCCCCCCCUUCUCCCUAGCCAGAGGCCUUGAAAGGAAAGCAAUGCACCAGGAAACAGACAAAAGUAAAA